GAUGAACGCUGGCGGCGUGCUUAACACAUGCAAGUCGAACGGAAAGGCUCCUGCUUGCAGGGGUACUCGAGUGGCGAACGGGUGAGUAACACGUGGGUGAUCUGCCCUGCACUUCGGGAUAAGCCUGGGAAACUGGGUCUAAUACCGGAUAGGACCACAUUUUGGAUGGUGUGGUGGAAAGUUUUUCGGUGUGGGAUGAGCUCGUGGCCUAUCAGCUUGUUGGUGGGGUAAUGGCCUACCAAGGCGUCGACGGGUAGCCGGCCUGAGAGGGUGUACGGCCACAUUGGGACUGAGAUACGGCCCAGACUCCUACGGGAGGCAGCAGUGGGGAAUAUUGCACAAUGGGCGCAAGCCUGAUGCAGCGACGCCGCGUGGGGGAUGACGGCCUUCGGGUUGUAAACUCCUUUCGCUAGGGACGAAGCGCAAGUGACGGUACCUGGAGAAGAAGCACCGGCUAACUACGUG
rnacentral:rRNA from 1 species